rnacentral:rRNA from 1 species
AUUGAACGCUGGCGGCAGGCCUAACACAUGCAAGUCGAACGGUAACAGGAAGAAGCUUGCUUCUUUGCUGACGAGUGGCGGACGGGUGAGUAAUGUCUGGGAAACUGCCUGAUGGAGGGGGAUAACUACUGGAAACGGUAGCUAAUACCGCAUAACGUCGCAAGACCAAAGAGGGGGACCUUCGGGCCUCUUGCCAUCGGAUGUGCCCAGAUGGGAUGAGCUAGUAGGUGGGGUAACGGCUCACCUAGGCGACGAUCCCUAGCUGGUCUGAGAGGAUGACCAGCCACACUGGAACUGGGACAGGGUCCAGACUCCUACGGGAGGCAGCAGUGGGGAAUAUUGCACAAUGGGCGCAAGCCUGAUGCAGCCAUGCCGCGUGUAUGAAGACGGCCUUCGGGUUGUAAAGUACUUUCAGCGGGGAGGAAGGGAGUAAAGUUAAUACCUUUGCUCAUUGACGUUACCCGCAGAAGAAGCACCGGCUAACUCCGUG